rnacentral:rRNA from 1 species
CCUACGGGAGGCAGCAGUAGGGAAUUUUCGUCAAUGGGCGCAAGCCUGAACGAGCGAUGCCGCGUGAGUGAAGAAGGCCUUCGGGUCGUAAAGCUCUGUUGCGGGGGAAAAAAGGCAGCAUCAGGAAAUGGGUGCUGACUGAUGGUGCACCGCCAGAAAGUCACGGCUAACUACGUGCCAGCAGCCGCGGUAAUACGUAGGUGGCGGGCGUUAUCCGGAAGGAUUGGGCGUAAAGGGUGCGCAGGCGGUCCUGCAAGUCUGGAGUGAAACGCAUGAGCUCAACUCAUGCAUGGCUUUGGAAACUGGAGGACUGGAGAGCAUGAGAGGGCGGUGGAACUCCAUGUGUAGCGGUAAAAUGCGUAGAUAUAUGGAAGAACACCAGUGGCGAAGGCGGCCGCCUGGCCUGUUGCUGACGCUGAGGCACGAAAGCGUGGGGAGCAAAUAGGAUUAGAUACCCUUGUAGUC